rnacentral:lncRNA from 1 species
AGAGAAGCGGCGCGCGGCCAGGAGCCCCCGCUCCGCCACUGCCGUGCCUGCCUCCCGCAGCUGUCUGCCAUGCGCUCGCCGGGGCAGGGGCGCCCGGAGGGCGGCUAGAGCUGGGCCUGAGCCCGGGAACGCGCCUGAUCAGGGGUGGCGGAGCCGCGGUCCCCACAGCCGCCCCACCCGCGCCGCUGCCUCGCUGGGGCCCGGGCCCCCUUCCCGGUCCGAAGCCCCAGAGAGAUUGGUGAGGGUGAUUUCCCAGGAAGACGCAGUGUGCUCUGACUUCUGUGACAGUGAGCAACGGGACCAGUGGAUGUCCAGAUGCUGGCAAUGAGUAGGCCUUCCCUACGCUGGGUGGCGUCCACACCCUCCGGCUUCCAUUGCCUGGGUCUCCUGGAGGUGGUUUGCUGGAUGAAUACCGCAUGCACAGAGGCUGGCCUUGGGUUUGAAUAUGGCAGCCAGUGGACAGCAUGUGCUUCAGUUAUGAGACUGCCCAGGAGAUGCUUCUUCCAAGGCAGAGCACGUGCAGAGUCCAGUGCUGGAGAGGCCGGGUGCGCAGUUGACCCAUUUCCAGUUCUGUUUUCCCUCUCAUGUUCCUCUGUCCCCAUCUAGGACAUGCUCUGGAGUCAGAAGACAGCGAAAAGAGAAGCAGAAGCCCCGGUGGCAAGAGUCUGAAGCUGGAAAGGAGGAGAACAUGAAACAUUGCUUGAAGACAAUGGCCGAGACAGCAGGUCCCACCCUGCACAGCCACCAGCAUCUCUCCCCUCAGCCCUGUCUCCUCUUCUGCAGUUGGGAUCUGCACAUUUAAGCCUGAAAUUGUCCUGUGAAGUGAAGUAUGAUCGGACAGCCUCUUUUCAGCUUUUAUGACAAUGGAGACAGAGGAAUUGUGGCUCUUGCCAAGGUCACAGGAUUGGAAUACAGAGCCAAGCCACCCCAGGACAUGCAAGAGCCUCAGAAGGGAAAAAAGCCCAGCAGGAAGGGAGAACAAGUAGCCUCUGUCCUGAAGUUGUAACAGCCAGGGGCCAGGAUGGAGGAGGAGGACCCCAUAAUCUGCCCAUCUGGGACUUGGCAGGGGACCUGGGAAAAUGUACCCCAACCCAUCCCUUAAGGGCCUUUGUCUUUGGCCCAUUGGCCUAGCAUCUACUUCUUCACCGUGUCUGUUCUUGUCACACCUAGUCAGGUCUGUUUGGGUCUGAGGUGCAUGGAACAUUCUGGGUAGGCCUCCAGCAAACGGAAGCUCUUCACCGUGUUUCCAGCCUGGGACCAAGGGCAGCAUACUGGCAAAGUUGCCAAAGCAAGGGACUCCAGCCUCUUAGGAGUUAAUGACUCCCUCUCCCCAGCUGUCCUCCCCUUGGUGCUCCUCUUCCUCCCUCCUCCUGCUCACAGCAGGCAGGGCCUAGACCCGGGAGCCAUGCUGCUGUGCUGUUGCCAGGGGAGCACGGAGGCAGAUCUGAGCUAUGCAGGGAAAAGGCCCAGCCUGUCAAAGUGUCUGAGAUGAACCGCCGCCGUCCCUGUGCAGCUGGGCUCAGACGUGUCUCAGCUCUUGUUCUGUGCCUGAGAAUGGCGAAACCCAGUGAGGUUCAAGGGCAAACUCGCUAUUCAUUAGUCAGGGGUUCUUGACGUCCCGUCUCUCCCAGGGAUGAGUUCCCCCCUCCUCUUUCUCCCCCUCCUAUGACACAUUCCUGGGUGCCUUUGGUGAGGACUGCACACCCUCCUCCUGCCUAGCCCCCUCUCCAAAGGCCCCUGAAUAAACUCCCCCCAAGGAGACCAGGCAGGGCAGAGACAAUGGCUGCAGGAAAUCAUUCAGGCGGGACAUGCUGGCCUGCCCUCCACCCAGUCCCCCUGUGGGCCCCACUCCCUUCUGAUUCAGGGCACCCUUGGGCCCCCAGCCUAUACAGGCCUGGACAGGAAGAAACCACUGGGAACCACCCUAAGGACAACAUGCUAGUCCAGUGCCAUUCUUCGCUGGCUCUGUGGGUGCCUUUGUGGCCUGUACCGACUGGCUGGCUAAUUUUGUGGUUUCUGUACCAUCACAUGCCUAUUUUAAGACACUCUCCAGCACUGUCGGUUAGGGAGUGUAAAUUUUGCAAUAUUUUCUGAAAUGUGGCAAUAUCAAAAUGUAAAAGGCACACAUACUUGGUCACAAACAAAUGGCACUAUUUACUCUGUGGGCAUAUUUGUAAAAGUUGCCAAAGAAUUAUAUACAAGGAUGUUCAUCAGAGCAUUUCUUUUGAAGAGUAAAGAAAUGGACAUGAACCUGUGGUCCGUUCAUACGGUGGAAUACCUAUGCAGCUGUAAAAAUCAGUGUGGUAGAUCUCCGUAUAUGAGUUGAUGUGGAAGGUUGGCCAGUUCACAUGAUAAGGUGAAUAGAAUAAGUUACAGAACAGGCUGUAGAGUAUGAUCUUAUUUGUAGAUGUUUAAAACUGAGUCAUAAGUAUGCUUAUAUACAGAUCGUUUCUGGAAGUAUGUACUGGAAGUCUACCUCUGGGGAGUGGGGAUGGGGGAGUGCACUCUUCUAUACUGUUAUAUUUUCUUUUCAUGCUCCUAAGGUACUUUUAUUGGAAGAUGUAAAGCGGUUCAAUGUAAUAGGCUUAACUUCUGUCAACUAAGUUGGCGUGGGUGCUUUAAGAGGGUGGUAGUGAUGUUGCUGGAGAAAGUAUCCCACAGUCACUGGUGGCUUCAGCCACGGGCCAUUUUGGGGCCUAAUAAUCACAUAUCAUCAUGGUUGCUAGUGUUAAUCGAAAACCUACUAAGUGCCAGGCUUACUGUCUCUGGGUCUUGCUUACGUGGAUGUCAUUUUUCCAGUUGCACCAAAUCGAAAGAGGUUAAUUGGUUUGUUGGAGUUCCUUUGUAGGUGAAGGGCAGAGCCAGGAGCUUGGCUAGGGACAGGGGAGGUGAGUGGGGGAUGGUGGAUAGGUCUUGGCUCCCAGUUUCCUUCUGGGCAGACAUUGCCCCUCUGCCCUGAGGACCUGCUUGUUUGGGGGAAGAGGCCUUUAGAGGCACCAGGGUCAUGCCAGGUGUUGGACAUGGUGAACUGGGAAGUGCUCCCAUCUGGCCACAGCGCAGAAGUAUCACCGUGCUGGGGGAUGGGGAACAGGGCUGUGAAUGGGCCUAUUUGCAUAAGCAGCAUGUGUCUGGAGAGAAAGACAUCACAGAGCAGAAGAGUGCGGGUGCCCAGGAGUGCACUUGCCACCCCUACUUCAUCCCUGAAAGAGUAAAUGGCCUGGAAGGUGUCUCUGAGAGGUAAUGCCGCACACCACCCUCCCUGGGGGCAGGGUCAGGCUACACCUGCCUUAGGUCGGGGGCUGCAGCAGCCUGAGAGCUCUCAGUAGGGCCUCAGUAGCCUGGGAGGGAGCAGGGGCAGGGGGCAGGGAAAGAGGCGUAAUGGGGCUGUCCAGAGGGGCCUGGGAAACCUGGUCCCUGAGGCCUGGGCACAGCUACAAUCACUUCAAAUUGGCUGUGGGGCCAGUGGACUGGGAAGGAAAAAAGCAAUAAGAGUGACCAAGUGCAGAAGGCUGUCAGGUCCCAGGUCACAUGCCUUAGUGCAGUGACUCCUCAUCAUUUUAUGGGGUGUGGGUGUCGUUGGUACACCCAUUUUACAGAUGAGGACACCGAGGCCCAGAAAAGUUAAGUUACAUGUCCUAAGUCACACAGCUUGUAAGUGCCAGAACUGAGAUCAAAACCAAGUCUCUUUGACUUUAAAGUCUGUACUCUGACCCCAAAGAGAUCCUGUUUGGCCACUUAUAGGAGGUCCCUAAAGCUGCAGACUCCCCUUGCCGGCACCCACAUAUAGAGACAUUAACCCUUCCCCUGCAGGGUCACCUCAAAUAGUCUUUUAGCUGGGCUUCUCCUGCAAUUCCACCUAAUGCCAUCCCCUGGGUUUUGCCCAAACCUGAACUGGGCAGUGGGGUGAGAGGAGGGGUUUACAGGGUUACAGAGCCUCAUACAGAUAGGAGCCCAUGGCUGCUGGUCAUCUGCAUUCCUGCAGGAUUGGCUGUUCCUUGGGGUCCUUGGCAGGAAAAUGAGGAUUGCUCCGAGGCCUGCUCCAGUACUUCCCAGAGGCUGGCCUGGUGUGGGGCUCUGGGAAGGCUGAGGCUGGAGAAGCGUAAGUAGGAGGGCAGAGAUGGCACUCAGGUAGCUUGAAUCACCAGGACCCUUCCAAGCCCCACAGGUUCUGAGGGAGUACUAGGGCCAGCUCUGGGAGAGGUCUCUUCCUAUGCUGUGAACCCCCUGCCUUUCUUGCAGCCUACAACGAAUAAAUUUUCUUUGCAA